GGCCUCGUAGCUCAGCUGGUAGAGCAUGCGCGUACAAAGCGUAGGCGGCGUCCAUGCGUGGGUUCGCAUCCCACCGAGGCUA
rfam:Echinostoma caproni strain Egypt genome assembly, scaffold: ECPE_scaffold0028881